ACAAAACAAGGCAAGGACAUGCACACGUAUUGGGAAGCGGCACCCUAGACCAUGGAAAUGAAGUUAUUACUUGGAGAGAAAUCCUGACGGCUUUCCCAUGCAACUGAGGUCCCAGGUGGACAGAAGGUCUGUGUUCAGCAGUCUCCAUGGCAACAGCAGCCAGCAUUGCACACAGGGUACCAGAUCCUACACUACAACCAACAUGCAGAAAAGCAGUCCUGGCUGGGAAUGACACCCACCAAUGACGGGGGGGAGCUGCACCCCACCAUCAUCUAGAAGACUGUCAGAAAAGGAAGAUACGCAUGGCUCAGAGCUUAAGCUCAUCUUUCUCCUCCUAGCAUCAAGCUGAACAUACUUCUCCUGGGCUGCAUGAUUAUUUUUCCAUUUCCAGAGCUGUCCUCCUGCACGCUCA